rnacentral:tRNA from 1 species
UCCGUGAUAGUUUAAUGGUCAGAAUCCCGCGCUGUCGCGUGCCAGAUCGGGGUUCAAUUCCCCCGUCGCGGAG